CAUAGGUUUGGUCCCAGCCUUCCUGUUAACUCUUAAUAAACUUACACAUGCAAGCAUCUACACCCCAGUGAGAAUGCCCUCUAGGUUAUUAAAACUAAGAGGAGCUGGCAUCAAGCACACACCCUGUAGCUCACGACGCCUUGCUUAACCACACCCCCACGGGAAACAGCAGUGACAAAAAUUAAGCCAUAAACGAAAGUUUGACUAAGUUAUAUUAAUUAGGGUUGGUAAAUCUCGUGCCAGCCACCGCGGUCAUACGAUUAACCCAAGCUAACAGGAGUACGGCGUAAAACGUGUUAAAGCACCAUACCAAAUAGGGUUAAAUUCUAACUAAGCUGUAAAAAGCCAUGAUUAAAAUAAAAAUAAAUGACGAAAGUGACC
rnacentral:rRNA from 1 species